GACGAACGCUGGCGGCGUGCUUAACACAUGCAAGUCGAACGAUGAAGCGGUGCUUGCACCGUGGAUUAGUGGCGAACGGGUGAGUAAUACGUGAGUGACCUACCUUUGACUCUGGGAUAAGCCUGGGAAACUGGGUCUAAUACCGGAUACGACCAAUCUCUGCAUGGGGUGUUGGUGGAAAGCGUUAUGGGGUGGUUUUAGACGGGCUCACGGCCUAUCAGCUUGUUGGUGAGGUAAUGGCUUACCAAGGCGACGACGGGUAGCCGGCCUGAGAGGGUGACCGGCCACACUGGGACUGAGACACGGCCCAGACUCCUACGGGAGGCAGCAGUGGGGAAUAUUGCACAAUGGGCGCAAGCCUGAUGCGGCGACGCCGCGUGAGGGAUGACGGCCUUCGGGUUGUAAACCUCUGUUAGCAUCGAAGAAGCGAAAGUGACGGUAGGUGCAGAGAAAGCGCCGGCUAACUACGUGCCAGCAGCCGCGGUAAUACGUAGGGCGCGAGCGUUGUCCGGAAUUAUUGGGCGUAAAGAGCUUGUAGGCGGUUGGUCGCGUCUGCUGUGAAGGCCGGGGCUUAACUCCGGUUUUGCAGUGGGUACGGGCUAACUAGAGUGCAGUAGGGGAGACUGGAAUUCCUGGUGUAGCGGUGGAAUGCACAGAUAUCAGGAGGAACACCGAUGGCGAAGGCAGGUCUCUGGGCUGUAACUGACGCUGAGAAGCGAGAGCAUGGGGAGCGAACAGGAUUAGAUACCCUGGUAGUCCAUGCCGUAAACGUUGGGCACUAGGUGUGGGGGACAUUCCACGUUUUCCGCGCCGUAGCUAACGCAUUAAGUGCCCCGCCCGGGGAGUACGGCCGCAAGGCUAAAACUCAAAGGAAUUGACGGGGGCCCGCACAAGCGGCGGAGCAUGCGGAUUAAUUCGAUGCAACGCGAAGAACCUUACCAAGGCUUGACAUGCAUUAGAUCGCGUCAGAGAUGGCGUUUCCCUUCGGGGCUGGUGUACAGGUGGUGCAUGGUUGUCGUCAGCUCGUGUCGUGAGAUGUUGGGUUAAGUCCCGCAACGAGCGCAACCCUCGUUCUAUGUUGCCAGCGGUUCGGCCGGGGACUCAUAGGAGACUGCCGGGGUCAACUCGGAGGAAGGUGGGGAUGACGUCAAAUCAUCAUGCCCCUUAUGUCUUGGGCUUCACGCAUGCUACAAUGGCCGGUACAGAGGGUUGCGAUACUGUGAGGUGGAGCUAAUCCCUUAAAGCCGGUCUCAGUUCGGAUUGGGGUCUGCAACUCGACCCCAUGAAGUCGGAGUCGCUAGUAAUCGCAGAUCAGCAACGCUGCGGUGAAUACGUUCCCGGGCCU
rnacentral:rRNA from 1 species